rnacentral:misc_RNA from 1 species
AGUAGCAGAAUUUUUUUUUUUUUUCAAAAAAGUUAAGAGAGAAAAAAGAAAAAGGAGAGAAGCUACAAACUACAUACAUGGAGGGUCCCAGCAGCCUCCCUUGAUCGAUUGCCAUAUCUGUCUCUUUCUGUUAAGUCUCUUCCAACAUGCAGUGGUGCCCACGUCCCUGACCACUCACAAGUCUCUCAAUUCAAACUCGACCGAGUUCACUCGCUUGCUUCCAUGGAGUGCAACUCGGUACUCAGUCCCUUCAUCAGUUUUGUUUGUUUUUCACCUAAUAUUCUACAACGCUGUAUAGGGG